AUUUAUAUGACUGAGAAUCAAAAAAGCACAUAAAGAAACACAAAAUGAAUACCCAUGGCUCCUAACGAUAUAUUGAGAUCUUAUGAAGCUUAACGAUCGGUCUGUGCAAGA